rnacentral:rRNA from 1 species
AUUGAACGCUGGCGGCAGGCUUAACACAUGCAAGUCGAGCGGGGACUUCGGUCCUAGCGGCGAACGGGUGAGGAAUGCUUGGGAAUCUGCCCAGUAGCGGGGGAUAACGUUUCGAAAGGAACGCUAAUACCGCAUACGCCCUACGGGGGAAAGGGGGGGAUCUUCGGACCUCUCACUAUUGGAUGAGCCCAAGUCGGAUUAGCUAGUUGGUGGGGUAAAGGCCUACCAAGGCGACGAUCCGUAGCUGGUCUGAGAGGAUGAUCAGCCACACUGGAAAUGAGACACGGUGCAGACUCCUACGGGAGGCAGCAGUGGGGAAUAUUGGACAAUGGGCGAAAGCCUGAUCCAGCCAUGCCGCGUGUGUGAAGAAGGCCUUCGGGUUGUAAAGCACUUUAAGCGAGGAGGAAUGGCUGAGGGUUAAUAACCUUCAGCAGUGACGUUACUCGCAGAAUAAGCACCGGCUAACUCUGUGCCAGCCGCCGCUGUAAAAC